rnacentral:lncRNA from 1 species
CACUACAUUAUUGCAUCAAUCAAUUAUAUGAUUUAAAGAGAGAAAGAAAGUGUAUUAUUUGCACAUUUUCUCAUAUCACUCAUCCUAGACCAUCUCUCUCUAAAAGCUACGAAAUUAGCUUGCUAGAUCAGUCUAUAAUCAAAGCCCAGCCAUCACAACAACAAAUCAUAAGCCAAAAUCAGAAAAUCAAAGCUUAGAAAAGGUAUAAACUCUAGCUUGAUUUUUCUCAAACUUUUUGGUG